rnacentral:rRNA from 1 species
AGAUAUGAUCCAGAGUACCACGGGACACGUGAAACCCUGUGGGAAGCAGGAGGGACCACCCUCCAAGGCUAAAUACUACCUAGUGACCGAUAGCGUAUAGUACCGUGAGGGAAAGGUGAAAAGAACCCCGGGAGGGGAGUGAAAUAGAACCUGAAACCCUGCACUUACAAGCUGUGGAAGCACAUUUCUUGUGUGACCGCGUACUUUUUGUAGAACGGGCCAACGAGUUACGUUAAGUAGCAAGGUUAAGCACUUAAGGUGCGGAGCCGUAGCGAAAGCGAGUUUUAACUGAGCGUUCAGUUACUUGACGUAGACCCGAAACCGGGCGACCUACCCAUGAGCAGGAUGAAGCGAAAGUAAAAUUUCGUGGAGGUCCGAACCCACGAGCGUUGAAAAGCUCGGGGAUGACUUGUGGGUAGCGGUGAAAUUCCAAUCGAGCCCGGAGAUAGCUGGUUCUCCCCGAAAUAGCUUUAGGGCUAGCCUCAAGGUGAGAGAUACGGAGGUAGAGCACUGAAUGUCCUAGGGGGUAUUGCACCUACCGAAGACUAUCAAACUCCGAAUGCCGUCAUCUUAUACUUGGGAGUCAGACUGUGGGUGAUAAGAUUCAUAGUCGAAAGGGCAACAGCCCAGAUCGUCAGCUAAGGUCCCUAAAUGUAAGUUAAGUGGUAAAGGAUGUGGGAUUGCACAGACAACCAGGAUGUUGGCUUAGAAGCAGCCACUCAUUCAAAGAGUGCGUAAUAGCUCACUGGUCGAGUGAUCCUGCGCCGAAGAUUUCCGGGGCUAAAACUUACUACCGAAGCUACGGCAUCAGUAAUGAUGGGUAGGGGAGCUUCCCAUACGGGUUGAAGCAUGACCGUAAGGACAUGUGGACAGUAUGGGAGUGAGAAUGUUGGCAUGAGUAGCGAGAUGUGGGUGAGAAUCCCACAGGCCGUAAACCCAAGGUUUCCAGGGGAAGGUUCGUCCGCCCUGGGUUAGUCGGGACCUAAGCUGAGGCCGAAAGGCGUAGGUGAUGGACAACAGGUUGAUAUUCCUGUACUACCGAUAACCGUUUGAGAGAAGGGA